UCACCCCGCGGUUUCUGGGCAGGCCAGGAGUGCUGGUUUGGGGGAUGGGGGAUCCGGCCAGGAGGUGUCGUUGCCUCAGUGACCCCGCAUCCCAGUCACCGCAGCUGUCCCGGCAGGAGCUUCCCUGGUGAGGAAGGAGCGGUCCAAAGGCAGCCCAGGGGCCCACCCCGGGCCGAGAGGAGCAGGGCUCUGACGCCAGCAGAUAGGAAGGAGCAGGGGUGCUGCGGACAUCUGACCGGCCAUGCGGACGGUGAGGUUGAGUUUCUGAGAGCUCAUUACAUGUUCCAGAUAGAAGUCCUACACUGGAUAUGUGGUUGCUGGCACAGAAUUGGGUACGGCAGGACCCGAGAGUGGGGAUUCGUUGGCCUCUCCCCCAGGAGCUGCGUGGUGCUCUGAGCUGGAGACAGGGGCUCAGAUGUGGCCCAGAGACCUCUGUGUGCACAUGCGGAAAUCUCUGCUUCCAGCUGCGUUCCUGGACCAUGCCUGGAACUGAACUCAAGGGACAGCGAGCCAAUGAACAAAUUCUCAGUGGCCUGACCAUCUGAGUCCUCACCUGGACCUGGGGGACCCCACAAAGGUACCAGGCAAUGGGAUCAAGAACGUGAAUGGCAAGUCAUCAGAGAGGGAGACAUACCACAAGACUCUUAAGUGCAGAAAACAAACGGAGGGUUGCUGAGGUGGGUGGGGGAUGGGGCAACGGGUGAUGGGCACUGAGGAGGGCACGUGAUGUGAUGAGCAAAACUGAUACACAACUGAUGAAUCACUGAACUCUACAUCCGAAUCUAAUGAUGUACUGUAUGUUGGCUAAUUGAAUUUAGAUUAAAAAUAAAAAAAGAACUUGCCAGUGGGCCAAGCUCAU